rfam:Oryza barthii chromosome 1, whole genome shotgun sequence.
AAAAUGGUAAACCCUGGGUUUACGUGUCCAACUUUGACUGUCCGUCUUAUAUGAAAUCUUUUUAUAAUUCGUAUUUUCAUUGUUGUUAUAUAAUAAAACAUGAUUAAUAUUUUAUGCGUGACUUGUCUUUUUAAUUUUUUUUAUAAUUUUUUCAAAUAAGACGGACGGUCAAAUAUUGGGCACGGAAACCAGGGUUUUUCUUUUU